GUAGAUGAUUGAUAGAGACAGUGAUAAGGUAUAAGUUUUUGGCAUGGCGAUCAGGUCAAGAAAGAGAAUAGAGCUAAAGAAUAAAACAGUCAAAGUUCAAUUUUGGGUAAGAGAAAAUGAGUCGGAUAAAGAACAAAUUGAAAAGCUCAGAUCAAGAUGAGAUUAAGAAGAGUAGAGUUAAGAUACAGAUGAGGCAAAUGUGGUUCUAGAGAAGGUAAACGAGGUAAAUAGAAGGGUAAGGAUAUGGAAAGCUUAGAAAAUGAUGACAUUAGGGAGAACGUUUAUCAUGGUAUAGGACCCAGAAGUGCAAAACUCAUAGCAGGUCGUAGUUGAUGCAUUGUUA
rnacentral:misc_RNA from 1 species